UGCUAUCCUAUACAGUGAAGCUGUGAC
rnacentral:piRNA from 1 species